GAUGAACGCUGGCGGCGUGCCUAAUACAUGCAAGUCGAGCGAACAGAUGAGGAGCUUGCUCCUCUGACGUUAACGGCGGACGGGUGAGUAACACGUGGAUAACCUACCUAUAAGACUGGGAUAACUUCGGGAAACCGGAGCUAAUACCGGAUAAUAUAUUGAACCGCAUGGUUCAAUAGUGAAAGACGGUUUUGCUGUCACUUAUAGAUGGAUCCGCGCCGCAUUAGCUAGUUGGUAAGGUAACGGCUUACCAAGGCAACGAUGCGUAGCCGACCUGAGAGGGUGAUCGGCCACACUGGAACUGAGACACGGUCCAGACUCCCACGGGAGGCAGCAGUAGGGAAUCUUCCGCAAUGGGCGAAAGCCUGACGGAGCAACGCCGCGUGAGUGAUGAAGGUCUUCGGAUCGUAAAACUCUGUUAUUAGGGAAGAACAAAUGUGUAAGUAACUAUGCACGUCUUGACGGUACCUAAUCAGAAAGCCACGGCUAACUACGUG
rnacentral:rRNA from 1 species